GAAUUCGCCCUUAGAGUUUGAUCCUGGCUCAGGACGAACGCUGGCGGCAUGCCUAACACAUGCAAGUCGAACGGGGAUAGAAAUAUCCUAGUGGCGAACGGGUGAGUAACACGUGAGCAACCUGCCUACUACAACGGGAUAACACAAAGAAAUUUGUGCUAAUACGGUAUAAGACCACGGUACCGAAUGGUACAGGGGUAAAAGCGAUUUAGCGGUAGUAGAUGGGCUCGCGUCCCAUUAGUUAGUUGGUGAGGUAACGGCCCACCAAGACCGCGAUGGGUAGCCGACCUGAGAGGGUGAUCGGCCACACUGGGACUGAGACACGGCCCAGACUCCUACGGGAGGCAGCAGUGGGGAAUAUUGGGCAAUGGAGGAAACUCUUACCCAGCAAUGCCGCGUGAGUGAAGAAGGUCUUCGGAUUGUAAAGCUCUUUGAUUGGGGAUGAAUAAAUGACGGUACCCAAAGAACAAGCCCCGGCUAACUACGUGCCAGCAGCCGCGGUAAUACGUAGGGGGCGAGCGUUGUCCGGAAUGACUGGGCGUAAAGGGUGUGUAGGCGGUUUAUUAAGUUAGAAGUGAAAUACCUAGGGCUUAACCCAGGUGCUGCUUCUAAAACUGAUAGACUUGAGUGCAGUAGAGGAAAGUGGAAUUCCUAGUGUAGCGGUGGAAUGCGUAGAUAUUAGGAGGAACAUCAGUGGCGAAGGCGACUUUCUGGACUGUAACUGACGCUGAGGCACGAAAGUGUGGGGAGCAAACAGGAUUAGAUACCCUGGUAGUCCACACUGUAAACGAUGGAUACUAGGUGUAGGAGGUAUCGACUCCUUCUGCGCCGAAGCAAAC
rnacentral:rRNA from 1 species